UACGUAGGGACCAAGCGUUGUUCGGAUUUACUGGGCGUAAAGAGCGCGUAGGCGGCGUAUUAAGUCAGCUGUGAAAUCUCCAAGCUUAACUUGGAACGGUCAGCUGAUACUGAUGUGCUAGAGUGCAGAAGGGGCAAUCGGAAUUCUUGGUGUAGCGGUGAAAUGCGUAGAUAUCAAGAGGAACACCUGAGGUGAAGACGGGUUGCUGGGCUGACACUGACGCUGAAGCGCGAAAGCUAGGGUAGCAAACGGG
rnacentral:rRNA from 1 species